GAUGAACGCUGGCGGCGUGCCUAAUACAUGCAAGUCGAGCGAACAGACGAGGAGCUUGCUCCUCUGACGUUAGCGGCGGACGGGUGAGUAACACGUGGAUAACCUACCUAUAAGACUGGGAUAACUUCGGGAAACCGGAGCUAAUACCGGAUAAUAUAUUGAACCGCAUGGUUCAAUAGUGAAAGACGGUUUUGCUGUCACUUAUAGAUGGAUCCGCGCCGCAUUAGCUAGUUGGUAAGGUAACGGCUUACCAAGGCAACGAUGCGUAGCCGACCUGAGAGGGUGAUCGGCCACACUGGAACUGAGACACGGUCCAGACUCCUACGGGAGGCAGCAGUAGGGAAUCUUCCGCAAUGGGCGAAAGCCUGACGGAGCAACGCCGCGUGAGAGAUGAAGGUCUUCGGAUCGUAAAACUCUGUUAUUAGGGAAGAACAAAUGUGUAAGUAACUAUGCACGUCUUGACAGUACCUAAUCAGAAAGCCACGGCUAACUACGUG
rnacentral:rRNA from 1 species